GGUUGCGAGUGCCGAAUGGGGAGUUCAGUUCUGAUCGGUUGGGUUUGGAAUUUUGGAUUGACUACUUUUUUUUGAAUGACGUUGAAAUCAAGGAGUCCCACGAUCCACAUAUAUAGAUCCCUGGAAUCAGAUCUGUGAAACGGAAGCGGAACGAAGGAACGGAAAACCCAGGAGUUGGGAACGAAUUCCAUGCAUCACGCACCACAUUGUAUUACAUAAGAUCGGAAUUACAUUUCAUUGUUGAACAACAUUUGAACGGCAAGUGGGAUGCAUGAGGAAGCUUGGACGGAGCACAGCAUCUCUACAAUUGCCGGAUGCUCGAGGGACCAUCCGCGUUGUCGUCGGGAUCCAGGGUCCCCUGGGUCUGGGUCAGGGUCUCCUGUUCUGUGCAUUCUGCAAGGGACGGCGCGCCAGUGAUCUGCAGCUUCGCAUCAACUCCGGGAUGGGCCUCAUUUGAGUCUGCGGUGUCAAUAGACACGGCGUCUUCAAGGCAUCCUCCUUCCAGGCGCAUCUCCAGCAGGGCAUCCCCUGGCUUGGCAAGUCCGUUCGCGGCCUUCCUCGACGGCACCCGACGACGUCUCCGUCCCCUGUGUCUGCAAUACCAAACUCAUAAGACACCAGCGCACACACAUUGCUGCCACAGGUGGUUGCACUCGACAGGCCAUCACCAUUGAGGCGUCGCCAUGGCGGGACAACCUUCUCGGUCGUGGGGAACUCGGAGGCCAUUGGGCACUUACUUUGCACUGAGCAUCGUUAGAGAAUCGGAUGUGAGCAGCGUUAGGAGCUCCUCCAUGGAGACCGCCAGCUGGAUAAAGUGUGCUUUCUGCGUCCGCAUUUUACCCUUUAGCCUGACCACAUGAUUGGAGUCCUUCAGGACGCCGCGCAGUUCGUCCUUUUUUGUUUUUCUUUGGUUGGCCUUCAUCACAAACGUCUCGUUCAAAGUCGUCUGAGUGGAAAUAUGUAUGUUGUCCGACUUGUGAUGACCCAGGGGGCAGGUACAGGAGCAGAAUGAGUGGAACUACGUCCGCAGCUCGAAAGGAAAACUCCAGCCUGCCGAGUCGAAGUGUUUGGAGUGCUGCAAGGAGCCUACUGCCCUCCUGGAAAUAUAAGUAUGUUGACUCUGCGAAUGUCACACAGUUGUGUAUUUCCAACACGCAUCUCGUAAUACAAAGUUAAUAUAAAAUAAAUACAUUUAUUGUGACAAAA